CUUGGUUUUGUGAAACAUAAUAUCAUUGCAUAGAAAAGAUUAUACAAAAGGCAUGGUAAAGGCCUAGAGAAUUAAGUUCUAACAGGCAACAUCCACAUACAUUUUCAAAUAAAGAUUCAAAGGAACAAACUUUAGGGAGUAAUAAAUCUUCACAAGACCCAACUUGAAAUGUUUGGAAACAAGAUUCCUCUAUCAAGCCAACAUAUAACACAGAGUAGAAGUAGAUUUUCACAAUAACCUCAACCUAUCAUAAUCUUAAAUUCUUUUCAGAGGCUCAAGCUGUAUAUAUACAUGAAGCAUCACCUCCCAAUCCGAAGGAAGCAUUUCUUCUCUGCUUGGUUCCUUCAGAUGAGAGAGAGAGAAAGAGAGAUUUCCCAGAGUUGGAAACAACAUUUAGCAAAGCUAUGAAUUAGACGUUUGCUUUCUGAUGAAUUUCCGCACUUCACUAAUCAACAAAGCAGAUUCAGGCAAUUCAGUCACGGAAUAGAACCCAUGAAUCACAUUUGGAUACUCAACCAAGUACACUUCUUUCCCUGAUUUCUUCAGCCCUUCGUGGUACCUCAUUUGCCAAUCCUGUAAUAUAUCAAACCCUCCAAUAACAACAAGUGUCGCCGGAAAAUGCACACCGGAAAUAUCCACUGCGUUUGGCCCAAAAACAUUAACCACCGGGUGGUUCCUGUCCGCUCCUUCCGGCAAAAAAGCCUUCCAAUACCAAUCUGAACGCUCUAUCGAUAGUCCUGGAACUCCUGAGAGCCUGAUUUCAGAUUCUGUUCUUCCUUCUCCUCCAAAAAAUGGUUGAAUUGUUAUGAGUCCAAUUACGUCCAUGUUGGAGAACCGAUAUUCACCAGCUUGGAGCACUACAUGAUGAGCUAUGUUCCCUCCGGCACUGUCACCGGCUACAAAGCACCAUUCAAGAUCCACUUUCGCUGAGAAAUUCUCAAAGUUCAUGCCGUCUAUGAACUUUAAUGCGUCGAAACCAUCCUCGAACUGACACGGGUACUUGUACUCUGGUGCUAGACGAUAGUUGAUGGAGAUCACAACUGCAGGAACUUCACGGGCGAGUCUCCGGCAAAAAUGAUCGAACUGUUUUGAGUUAGCCGCCAAGAAACAGAACCCACCACCGUGGAAGUAGACAAUCACAGGCAAACUAGCUUCAACAUAUCUAGAGGAGGAGGAGGUAGUGGUGGGAAUGUAGAGACGGAACCAGAGAUUGUUGCUGGGGUCUAUGGUGAUGUCAAAAGAGGAGACACCAUUGAUGGGUUUUGCAGAAGAGGGAGCUUUAGGAUCAAAGAUCUUCAUAAAAUUGCGGUUGAUGGUGAAAUUGGAGCGACGAGCGGUGCUCGCAGCGAAGGAGAAUGUGGCGAGGCCGAGCCUAGUCUUCAAUGGAAGGCGAGGUGAUGAUGCGUAUCUACCUGACAUUUUCUUGAUGGAUUUAGAGAUUUUGGGUAGUGAGUUUUUUUCCCACGGAUUUGGAGGAACCAGUGGCUAGUAGAUGAAAUGAAGAUUGAAUCCCAAGUAUGUUGGUGUUUGGUGGAGAUAG
rnacentral:misc_RNA from 1 species